rnacentral:rRNA from 2 species
GAAACGACUGCUAAGACUGGAUAGGAAGAAAUAAGGCAUCUUAUUUCUUUUAAAAGACCUAGUAAUAGGUAUACUUUAGGAGGGGCUUGCGCCAUAUUAGUUAGUUGGUAGGGUAAUGGCCUACCAAGACGAUGAUGUGUAGCUGGACUGAGAGGUUGAACAGCCACAUUGGGACUGAGACACGGCCCAAACUCCUACGGGAGGCAGCAGUAAGGAAUUUUCGGCAAUGGAGGAAACUCUGACCGAGCAACGCCGCGUGAACGACGAAGUACUUUGGUAUGUAAAGUUCUUUUAUCAAGGAAGAAAAGCAAGUGGCGAACCAUUUGUUUGCCGGUACUUGAUGAAUAAGCCCCGGCUAAUUAUGUGCCAGCAGCCGCGGUAAGACAUAAGGGGCAAGUGUUAUCCGGAAUUAUUGGGCGUAAAGGGUGCGUAGGCGGUCUAGUAAGUCAGUGGUGUAAUGGCAACGCUCAACGUUGUCCGGCUAUUGAAACUGCUAAACUUGAGUUAGAUAGAGGCGAGUGGAAUUCCAUGUGUAGCGGUAAAAUGCGUAAAUAUAUGGAGGAACACCAGAGGCGUAGGCGGCUCGCUGGGUCUUAACUGACGCUGAGGCACGAAAGCGUGGGGAGCAAACAGGAUUAGAUACCCUGGUAGUCCACGCCGUAAACGAUGUGUACUAAGUGUCGGGUUAAACCGGUACUGAAGUUAACACAUUAAGUACUCCGCCUGAGUAGUACGUACGCAAGUAUGAAACUUAAAGGAAUUGACGGGACUCCGCACAAGCGGUGGAUCAUGCUGUUUAAUUCGAAGAUACCCGAAAAACCUUACCAGGUUUUGACAUGUUUUUGCGAAACGGUAGUAAUAUCGUAGAGGUUAUCAGAAACACAGGUGGUGCAUGGUUGUCGUCAGCUCGUGUCGUGAGAUGUUAGGUUAAGUCCUAAAACGAGCGAAACCCUUAUCGUUAGUUGCCAGCACGUUAUGGUGGGGACUUUAACGAGACUGCCAGUGAUAAACUGGAGGAAGGUGAGGAUCACGUCAAAUCAGCAUGCCCCUUAUGACCUGGGCUACAAACGUGAUACAAUGGCUGUUACAAAGGGUAGCUGAAACGUAAGUUCUUGGCCAAUCCCCAAAAACAGUCUCAGUCCGGAUUGAAGUCUGCAACUCGACUUCAUGAAGUUGGAAUCGCUAGUAAUCGCGAAUCAGCAUGUCGCGGUGAAUACGUUCGCGGGGUUUGUACACACCGCCCGUC